rnacentral:misc_RNA from 1 species
UCAAACUUGGUCAUUUAGAGGAAGUAAAAGUCGUAACAAGGUUUCCGUAGGUAGGUUAAAGUUCCCCCCCCGGUCACUAGGCCCCUUUUAACUAAGGACCCUAAUGACAUUCCCCUUAUUACCCUUUCGUGACACGUCGCUAACAUACGUCUUAUAGGUGAACCUGCGGAAGGAUCAUUAAAGAGUUAGGGUCCCCUGGGCCCGACCUCCCAACCCUUUGUUUACUGAACCUCUGUUGCUUCGGCGGACCCGUCUCACGACCGCCGGAGGACCGCUCCCUCGGGCGUCCUCUGGCCAGCGUCCGCCGAUAGCCAACCCUUCAAAACUUCUGAAUAAAUCAUGCUCUAUGUCUAAGUCCUAUGAUGCAAAUCAAUAAAGCAAAACUUUCAACAACGGAUCUCUUGGUUCUGGCAUCGAUGAAGAACGCAGC